rnacentral:lncRNA from 1 species
AGCACUCCUGACUUUAGAGAAUUCUCUAGGCUAGUUUACCAGUCUAAGCUGUAUUGGCCUCUCCUGGCCCAGGUCAGGGCACUCCCUAAAGGGCCCAACCAUGGUACGAGUCACAUGGGUUACUGCUCACUACAUGAACACUGAGAACAAGCCUGGACCGUCUCCAAGUUCCUCUGUUGCUUAGAUCACCGUAAUCCAGUCAGGGUCGAGGUUGCUCCUGUGCCGGGAGGCCUGUCCCCAGAGUGUUCACCAAGACUGUGACACCGCUGGCUUCUGCUACCUGUCUCUGCAGAGAAUGGAGUAGCAGAUGCCCUGGCCCAGCCUCCCGUGCAGCAGGGACAUCCCUCGUGAUCUCAGGUGGCCUCUGUGCUGGAAGACGCUGCACUAGGGAGGCCGAUACCAUGUCCCGGGAAGGCUGACAAAUCCCCACAGAAGCCACAUCCACUUGGCAGAUUUUUUUAUUUUUGGGUAAAACAAAACAAACGUACCUCUCGGGUUGGAAAGGACCCGUGAACAACAUGGCAAACACGUGUAAGCAAUAAAUAUGCAUGUACAUUCAAGUAUGCGGGCGGCCACCGUGUCCCGCCCGAGACCCUGUGCUCUGGUUUCCGCUUCUGCCCUCAGAGUGAUGGUGUCUCUCUCUCUCAGAAGUUGGGUCCCCAGUUGCCCUUGCCCUGGCUCCCUCCUAGGCUACAGGGUAAGAGGCUCUGGGUUAGAAGGUUGUACAGAGCCCUCCAGGAGGGCUGCCUAUAGUGCCUGCAGGCAAGAAAUAGGACCACGGUCCCCAAGGGUCUAUCUCAUGGAUGUAGUUCUCAGUUCUGCCUGAGUCUCUCCACCCCAGCUAUAGUGCCCUAUGUCCAACUCAGAUAUUGCAGCUGGACCCCUCCUUGGGGAGAAAGCCAAGAUACCAUCUCCC